UUGAAGCCUCGUCUCUUAGACGUGAAUCUGCUGAAACUCAUAAGUGUGUUGAUUGGGCGAGAGAGAUGAAUCUGAACAUGAAUUCAAUGGAAUCAGUGGUUGCUCAAAUCCAAGGGCUAUCGAGCAAUUCAUCAGACAUAACUCAGCUUCACAACUUUCUCAAACAAUCGGAAGAGCUACUCCAUUCCGACUUCUCUCGCUUGCUUUCUUCUCUCGCUGAACUCGAUCCUUCUAUUCACUCCCUAGGUUUUCUCUAUAUUCUGGAGGCAUGCAUCUCAUUCCCAGUUGCAAAGGAGCAUGUUAGUGAACUGCUUGUUUCUGUCGCUAGAUUUAUCAAUUCAUGUUCUACAGAGCAAAUCCAGUUGGCGCCCAAUAAGUUCAUUUCUGUUUGUAAAAAGUUCAAGGAUCAUGUUUUCGGACUGGAAACUCCGAUUCGUGGUGUGGCUCCAAUGCUGACUGCUAUUCGUAAACUGCAAUCCUCCCCUGAGCAAUUAACAACAUUGCAUGCCGAUUUUCUUCUUCUUUGUCUAUUAGCAAAGUGCUACAAAACUGGCUUCUCUGUGCUGGAGGAUGACAUAUAUGAGAUUGAUCAGCCACGGGAGUUUUUUCUCUAUUGUUACUACGGGGGAAUGGUUUGCAUUGGACAAAAGCAGUUCCGCAAAGCAUUGGAACUCUUGCACAAUGUUGUGACUGCACCUAUGUCUACUCUAAAUGCAAUAGCAGUUGAAGCUUACAAAAAGUACAUUCUGGUUUCACUGAUUCAUCUUGGGCAGUUCUCUACCAGUUUUCCCAAGUACACUUCUUCCGUGGCUCAAAGGAACUUGAAGAAUUUCUCUCAGCCCUACCUGGAGUUAUCAAACAGUUAUGGGACUGGAAGAAUCUCUGAACUUGAAACAUUUGUUCAAACAAACAAGGAGAAGUUUGAAAGCGAUAAUAAUCUUGGAUUAGUGAUGCAAGUAGUGUCUUCUAUGUAUAAGCGCAAUAUUCAGCGGUUAACUCAAACGUACCUAACUCUCUCCCUCCAAGAUAUUGCUAACACUGUCCAGCUAAGAGACCCCAAACAGGCAGAAAUGCAUGUGCUUCAGAUGAUUGAAGAUGGUGAGAUAUAUGCAACAAUCAAUCAGAAGGAUGGUAUGGUUAGAUUUCUGGAGGAUCCUGAGCAGUAUAAAACGUGUGGAAUGAUUGAACAUAUCGAUUCAUCAAUUAAGAGAUUGAUGGCAGUGUCGAAAAAGUUGACGUCUAUGGAUGAACUUAUGUCAUGUGAUCCUAUGUACCUAGGAAAGGUUGGUAGGGAGAGACAGAGAUUUGAUUUUGAUGAUUUUGACGGUGUUCCUCAGAAAUUCACUAUCUGAGACUAGCAAAGUUCAGUUUUCUGAGUAAAUAUGGCAAAUGAUGCUGAUAUGUUCAUUUGAAAUAUAAGCAAACUUUAUUCCAUUGACCUCAAGAAAUGGCUAAGGAAAUAGGUGUAUUUAACUCCUGGUUCAAUCAGUGGUAUCAUGUUUGUUUUAUUUGCCCUUCUGCUUUUCGUUUUGUGUGGGCAGGUUGAACUGCUUGCUCUAGUUUUAUUUUACUAUCUAGCAAGGGAACUGUUUAGUUGUAGUUAGAGGCUAGGAGGAUGAUAAUGUUCAUCUUCUUUAGUGGACAUUGGUGUUUUAGUUAAUUUGUUUUGUAGUAGCAAGUUCCUCGAAUGGUUAGAGAUCUCCCAGUUUUUAGUUAUUACAAAA
rnacentral:misc_RNA from 1 species